UACGUAGGGUGCAAGCGUUAUUCGGAAUUACUGGGCGUAAAGCGUGCGAAGGCGGUUAUGUAAGUCAGACGGGAAAUCCCCAGGCUCAACCUGGGAACUGCGUCUGAUACUGGAUGGCUUGAAUUCGGGAGAGGGAUGCAGAAUUCCAGGUGUAGCGGUGAAAUGUGUAGAUAUCUGGAGGAAUACCGGUGGCGAAGGCGGCAUCCUGGACCGACAUUGACGCUGAGGAGCGAAAGCUAGGGGAGCAAACGGG
rnacentral:rRNA from 1 species